rfam:Schistosoma haematobium scaffold451_14, whole genome shotgun sequence.
AUCCAGCAGACGAGUUCUAUAAUAGGACGAAACGUGCGUCAAACUGAAU